rnacentral:rRNA from 1 species
CCUACGGGGUGCAGCAGUGAGGAAUAUUGGUCAAUGUGCGCGAGCCUGAACCAGCCAAGUAGCGUGACGGAUGACUGCCCUACGGGUUGUAAACUUCUUUUAUAAAGGAAUAAAGUGAGGCACGUGUGCCUUUUUGUCUGUACUUUAUGAAUAAGGAUCGGCUAACUCCGUGCCAGCAGCCGCGGUAAUACGGAGGAUCCGAGCGUUAUCCGGAUUUAUUGGGUUUAAAGGGAGCGUAGAUGGGUUGUUAAGUCAGUUGUGAAAGUUUGCGGCUCAACCGUAAAAUUGCAAUUGAUACUGGCAGGCUUGAGUACAGUUGAGGUAGGCGGAAUUCGUGGUGUAGCGGUGAAAUGCUUAGAUAUCACGAAGAACUCCGAUUGCGAAGGCAGCUUACUAAACUGCCACUGACAUUGAUGCUCGAAAAUGUGGGUAUCAAACAGGAUUAGAUACCCGAGUAGUC